rnacentral:tRNA from 1 species
GGAGGGGUGCCGGAGUGGCCGAUCGGAACCGCCUUGAAAGCGGUCGUAGGGAGACCUACCGCGGGUUCGAAUCCCGCCCCUCUGCU